rnacentral:lncRNA from 1 species
AGGUUCGCGUGGUCUUCCAGAGUUACUCAUUGUUACUUAUGGUUAUCUAGACUAAUUGAUGCAACUUUGCAUCAAAAUGGUAUAUUAUUGUUCAAGCUUUUGUUGUAUAUACUGUGGUUUAUUUGUGGCACAAGUACCAAGCUGAAUUACAUAAUGUAUACUUGCAAUCUUGCUUGGUUGUUGUCAGGAACUUUUGUCUAUUUACAUGUUUCUUUCUUGAAGAAAUCCUGUGGAAAAUUUCUGUCUUCUUGAUCGGAGCAGGUGUCACUUUCUAAUUUCCAUCCUACAUGUUUCUUUCUUGAAGAAAUCCUGUGAAAAAAUUUAUGUGUUAACCUUUAAUAGGAAAAUAUUAUCCUUUCUUUUGUUAAAAUAUAAGUCUCCAAGAUGAGGUUUAAAGUCCAAUGCCUAAAAUGGUGAAACCAUCUCUUCUAUGAUCUAUUUAGCUUUUAAUUAUUGACUGCGCAACCAAAAAUCCUGUUGUCAGUUUAGUAAUAGCAUAGCUGAAUGUAUUUGCUAUGGCAUGCAGGUAAUUUGCAUUGUUAUUUUGACCAUUGUCAUUCCUAUAUGGAUUCAUACCAUUCCGGGUUCUCUUACCUCACCCAUUUUAUGUCUAUAGAUUUUCUUCAGCAAUCUGCGCAACUGAAUCCGCAAAUACCCAGCUAAAAUAGGCUCCUGUUAUUACUGGUUUAACAAUCUACAAUUACUAUAUCUACAGUGGGUUCGAUGAGGUAGAUGUAUGGAACAUAUCGCCAGGUAGUAUUUGGUAAUUGUGGUGUAACAUAUUUGAGUCAAAUUGGUGUAUGUACGAAACCUAUGAACCAAAACUGAGCGGCAUCCUGGCUUCAUGUUGAUAAGUGUGAAAUACUUAUUUGUGAAGGAGAUGAGGUACAGAGUGUAGUGAAUGUGCGUGUCGUUAGUAGUAGGUAAGGCAAACAAUGUGAAUGAAUAUCCCUCUUGUGUUGCUAUGUAUCAGUGGAAAUAAUAAUUACUUGAAGGUUAAAAAUAUUUGUGACUCAAAGUAAAAUGGGUUGACAAGAGAACUACCUGCAGGUCAGGGAAACAUGAGCGUGCAGCUCUAGGUUCAUGCUAAUUUUUGCAGUCCUUUUUUUGCUGCCCAGUGGUACGAGCUAAAUAUUCUAAAGAUGUAGUAUGUUAAUCAAUAUUCUUGAUUUAAGACUACAAGUGAUGCUGAGCUGUUUCAGUUAUUACUGUAUUUAGGAACACUUGAUGUAAGAGUACAGAGUGAUUUUGAUCUGUUUCAGUUAUUACUGAAUUUAGGAGCAUCUUUGUAUGUCCCUGACUCCCUUUUCCUGAUAUAACAAGGCCUAGCCGGUACGUUUCAAUAUAUGCCAAUAAUUUACAUAGUGCUCUUGUACCAUUGGUUUGAGACACUGAUGACAAUUUCAGGCUUAUGCGGCGCUAUAUUUUCUUUGGACAUUUUGGACUGAAGAAAAAUUGGUGAACUUUCUAUAGCCAAUGCAUACUUGGUUGAGGACUAAAAAAUGAUGGAUUGUGUCCUUUGUCCUUUGCACUCAAGUACUCGGAAAGAAGGUCUGAGUGGUAAUAUGGGAGCAAAUGUGCUAACUUAAGCACAUGUUUGUGGUACCAAUCUGUAUUUGUAUAUGACGAGCAUUGACAUGAAACAGGCACCUAACAAAACACAUACUACUACAGGUCUCAAUUCCAACUGCAAGGAUGUACGUAGUGUGCAAUGUGCACUGUAUCCACUUGAUACUUGCAACAAAUCAUUCGAAUUAUCACACAACUGUAUGGGCCAAAAAAUACCUCAGUAAAUAAGUAGUAAUGGUCUUCAACCGGUUUCUCCUCGAAGUUCUCCAUCUUUUUUCCUCGGGCAGGAAACUGUAGAAUCAACACGAUCACUUCGAUCUGGAAGGUGGAAUGUCUUUGCUCAGACCGAUGGAGGGUCCUGAUCUUUCUAAGAAGAAGAGGAUUGUUGCCUUGGUACAUAGCUCCUUCACCGGACUCCCUUGCUCUAAGGUCAGAGGCACUGGGACUGGGUUGCGACGAGCUGCUUCGGAGUAAGCUAUUGGUCAACUUGGGCUACGAAAUCAUUGCGUGCGGGAGGGAGAAAAGGAGGGGGAUGAGCUGGCUGACCUCGGUGUCUGCGGCGGCAGUUGAGCAAGAUCUCGGGCGAUACUCCGACCUGAGGUCUCUGGCGGCAGCCAUUGGAGCUCCGGUCAUCCGGUGGUGGAUUUGGAACUGGAUGAGCGGCAGCCAAGCCCCACACACACGAGGCGUUUCUUUGAGUGACCGCUCACGUGCUGCACGUGGCCAGCGAU